rnacentral:lncRNA from 1 species
GUAGAAAUGAAAUGCACGGUUGAAAACAUAGUAGACACUCAUGAUUCCACAGAACAACCUAAGCACCUUGUAUCAGGAACAGCUAAGUUGACAGUAAGCAAAACUGAUUCCCAAACUAAUGCUACUCAGCCUGAUGGAUCGAAGACAUCUCAUUGUCUUGGGAGAACAAAGCAAUUGGAUCUUGAAUCAUGCUUUGUAAAACUGCAGCCUAUUCCCAUCAAGUGCAAUGAUCCAAUAUAUUUAAAUUCUCUAAAGAAUACUGACUGUGAAACUCAAACACUCUUGAAAGACAAGAAAUUGUUUUCUUUCCCACAGAGUCAGCUUGAGCCUUCAACAUUGAAGUCAUCUCUCUCUGUGACAAAAGCCAACAGAGAAGAAGGUCUGACUCAUGUGUGUCCAUUCGAAACCUGUACACGGAAAUACAGCACCUCAAAAAGUUUAUCGAGACAUGUCAAAAAUGUUCAUUCGGAGGCCUUUGAGGAGUGGAAGCUGUCAAAGAAGUACAAACGGAUUGCGGAAAUUGCUGCAAAAAAAUCUUCUGAGCACACAACCGCUAGUUCUCAGAUACCAAAAUGGACAAGCCGUUCCAAACAAACUGAACAUACUGCAUUUCUGGACUCAGUGAUUCAAAGUCCUUCUUCUGCUUUUUCCAAUCACGAUAGUAUGCAGUCUGCAAGUGCCAAGUUUUGCUCUCAGCUUGAAAACACUCAAAGUGCAACAUCACCAAACCCGACAGGUCUGAUGCAGUUACCAAUAACUCAGACAUGGGAAACACCCUCAAUGGAAAAUCUGGAUUCAGGUUUUUCUGUAAAUGAUCCUUACCGCUCUACGAUUUUAUCUGACAACCAACACACAAACCCGUCAUACCAUUCUGACACAGUCUUAAAUUAUGCAUCUCCCUCAUCUUACGAUGACAUCAUCCCCCUUUCUGUGAAUGCCCACACACCCUCCAGUGUGAUGAACGAAGCAAAAUAUGUGUCAAGCUCUCUUAGAGUACUACAUGCACUUAACAGCGAUCAGACUUGUGACUUGUCACAGGUUGAGUCAAGUGUUAAUCCUGGAUUCAGUCAAAUUGGACAAAACCAUCUCAAUGAUAUUUCCAUCAGCACUGGUUUGCUGCCAACAGGAUCAUUCUCUGGACACAAUGUCAGCCUAUAUUUUUCAACUUUGCCUUCCGAGGAAACUUCUAUUUCAGUGCAGCCAUUGGCAAAUUCAAACAAAGAAAUCAGCACUGAUAGUACCGAUGCAUUAUUCUCAUCAGAUAUCAAAUGUAUGUCGAAUCUUUUAAACCCUCAAUUUAAGGAAUCGGGAGAAGAUUUCUUUGGUGCUGCCCCCCUGACUGA